CCUACGGGGGGCAGCAGUGGGGAAUUUUGCGCAAUGCUCGUAAGAGUGACGCAGCGACGCCGCGUGAAUGACGAAGGCCUUCGGGUCGUAAAGUUCUUUCGACAGGGAAGAAAAUGCCUAUAAGUAACUGUGUAUGUAUUGACGGUACCUGUAUAAGCAGCCCCGGCUAACUCCGUGCCAGCAGCCGCGGUAAUACGGAGGGGGCGAGCGUUGUUCGGAGGGACUGGGCGUAAAGAGCACGGAGGCGGUGUUGUAAGUCAUUAGUAAAAGACUAGAGCUCAACUUUAGUAAGGCUAGUGAUACUAUAAUACUAGAGUAUCAGAGAGGAUUGCAGAAUGCCUGGUGUAGCGGUGAAAUGCGUAGAUAUCAGGAGGAAUACCGUUAGCGAAGGCGGCAAUCUGGCUGGAAACUGACGCUGAGGUGCGAAAGCGUGGGUAGCAAACAGGAUUAGAUACCCCGGUAGUC
rnacentral:rRNA from 1 species